rnacentral:rRNA from 1 species
CACGUAGGGCGCAAGCGUUGUCCGGAAUCAUUGGGCGUAAAGCGCGCGUAGGUGGCUUCGUAAGUCCGUUGUGAAAGUCAAAGGCUCAACCUUUGAAAGCCGAUGGAUACUGCGGAGCUAGAGUACGGAAGAGGCGAGUGGAAUUCCUGGUGUAGCGGUGAAAUGCGCAGAUAUCGGGAGGAACACCAAUGGCGAAGGCAGGUAACUGGACUAUUACUGACACUAAACUGCGAAAGCUAGGGGAGCAAACAGG